AGAAGGCCCAAAGGAUCAAAGGAGUGACCCCAAAAUCCACCCAAAAUCCAUCCAGAAAUCUCCCCAAAAUCACCCUCGUCUAUCCCUGAGGAGGCACAAAGGGGUCCAAGGAGUGACCCCAAAAUCAUCAUAAAAAUCUCCCAAAUCAGGGACCCUUCAUCUACCCAAGAGGACGCCAAAAGGGUCCAAGGAGUGACCCCAAAAAAAUCUCCUAAAAAUCCCCCACAUCGGGGACCUCCUGCCCCCCAAAACCAGGGACCCCCUGCCCCAAAAUUAAGGACACACCCCCAGGGAGCCCCAAAAACCACCUUGCACCCCCCCCCCAAAACCAGGCACCCCCCUACAGGGACCACCCCAAGAGAACCCCCUCGAACCAAGCACAGAGACCCCCCAGGGACCCCCCAAAAUCCAGGGAAUUCCCCCCUUUCACCCCCCGGGGACCCCUCUAAUAAAGGCAGAGUGAGACUGA